UACGAAGGGGGCUAGCGUUGUUCGGAAUUACUGGGCGUAAAGCGCGCGCAGGCGGCUCUUCAAGUCAGGGGUGAAAGCCCAGAGCUCAACUCUGGAACUGCCUUUGAGACUGAAGAGCUUGAGUACGGGAGAGGUGAGUGGAAUUCCCAGUGUAGAGGUGAAAUUCGGUAGAUAUUGGGAAGAACACCGGUGGCGAAGGCGGCUCACUGGCCCGUUACUGA
rnacentral:rRNA from 1 species